GAAAUGCGAUAAGAAAUGUGAAUUGCAGAAUUCAGUGAAUCAUCGAAUCUUUGAACGCACCUUGAGCUCCUUGGUAUUCCUUGGAGCAUGCCUGUUUGAGUAUCAUGAAAUCUUCAAAGUAAAUCUUUUGUUAACUCAAUUGGUUUCUACUUUGGUAUUGGAGGUCUUUGCAGCUUCACACCUGCUCCUCUUUGUUCAUUAGCUGGAUCUCAGUGUUAUGCUUGGUUCCACUCGGCGUGAUAAGUUAUCUAUCGCUGAGGACACUGUAAAAGGUGGCCAAGGUAAAUGCAGAUGAACCGCUUCUAAUAGUCCAUUGACUUGGACAAUACUUUUAUGAUCUGAUCUCACAUCAGGUAGGACUACCCGCUGAACUUAAGC
rnacentral:misc_RNA from 1 species